AAUAAUCUUAUUUUUCGUUUUUUCAUGUCCAACGUUUGACCAUUUGUCUUAUUUGAAAUUUUUUGUGAUUAAUCUUUUUAUUCUUAUUAGAUGAUAAAACAUGAAUAGUAUUUUAUGCGUGACUAAUUUUUUUUAAGUUUCUGUACAAAUUUUUCAAAUAAGACGAAUGGUCAAAUGUUGGACACGGAAAACGAAAAAUGAGAUUAUU
rfam:Oryza brachyantha chromosome 8, whole genome shotgun sequence.